AUGACAAUUUUUCUUUAUGCACAUCAUAAAACACUAUCCUUGAUGAGGUCUUUCACCAAGAAAAGAGACAUUGUUAGACCGGGGGUGACACGAUUUGCUUCGGCCUUUCUUACCUUGCAAAGUUUGGUUUCUAAAAGGAAGGAACUAAGAGCAAUGGUUUGUAGUGAUGAAUGGGAAGCAUGCAAGCACACAAAAAGGUGA
rnacentral:rRNA from 1 species